AGAGUUUGAUCCUGGCUCAGGAUUAACGCUGGCGGCGUGCCUAACACAUGCAAGUCGAGCGGCAGCGAGUUUUACACUGAAUUCUGGAAGCUUCUAGUUGAAAGAGAAGAUUUAUUCAAGAAUUUUGUGUAAAAUGUCGGCGAGCGGCGGACGGCUGAGUAACGCGUGGGAACGUACCCCAAAGUGAGGGAUAACGCAUCGAAAGGUGUGCUAAUACCGCAUAUGGUCUUCGGAUUAAAGCCUUCGGGCGCUUUGGGAACGGCCUGCGUAAGAUUAGAUAGUUGGUGGGGUAAUGGCCUACCAAGUCGACGAUCUUUAACUGGUUUGAGAGGAUGAUCAGUCAGACUGGAACUGAGACACGGUCCAGACUCCUACGGGAGGCAGCAGUGAGGAAUCUUCCACAAUGGGCGAAAGCCUGAUGGAGCAACGCCGCGUGCAGGAUGAAGGCCUUCGGGUUGUAAACUGCUUUUAUAAGUGAGGAUUAUGACAGUAACUUAUGAAUACGUAGAUAUUAGAAGGAACACCGAUGGCGUAGGCAGGCUACUGGGCUGUUUCUGACACUGAGGCACGAAAGCGUGGGGAGCGAACCGGAUUAGAUACCCGGGUAGUCCACGCCGUAAACGAUGGAUACUAGCUGUUUGGGGUAUCGACCCCCUGAGUAGCGAAGCUAACGCGUUAAGUAUCCCGCCUGUGGAGUACGAUCGCAAGAUUAAAACAUAAAGGAAUUGACGGGGACCCGCACAAGCGGUGGAUCAUGUUCUUUAAUUCGAUGAUAACCGAUAAACCUUACCAGGUCUUGACAUCCUUGGAAUCUUUCAGAAAUGAGAGAGUGCUUUUUAAGAGCCAAGUGACAGGUGAUGCAUGGCCGUCGUCAGCUCGUGUCGUGAGAUGUUUGGUUAAGUCCAUCAACGAGCGCAACCCUUGUCAGUAGUUGUAUUUUUCUACUGAGACUGCCCCGGUAACGGGGAGGAAGGAGGGGAUGACGUCAGGUCAGUAUUUCCCUUACGUCCUGGGCUAGAAACGUGAUACAAUGGCUAGUACAAUGCGCAGCGAAGCCGCGAGGUGAAGCAAAUCGCAUCAAAGCUAGUCCCAGUUCGGAUUGUAGGCUGAAACUCGCCUGCAU
rnacentral:rRNA from 1 species